rnacentral:rRNA from 1 species
ACGGGUGAGUAAUGCCUAGGAAUCUGCCUGGUAGUGGGGGACAACGUUUCGAAAGGAACGCUAAUACCGCAUACGUCCUACGGGAGAAAGCAGGGGACCUUCGGGCCUUGCGCUAUCAGAUGAGCCUAGGUCGGAUUAGCUAGUUGGUGGGGUAAUGGCUCACCAAGGCGACGAUCCGUAACUGGUCUGAGAGGAUGAUCAGUCACACUGGAACUGAGACACGGUCCAGACUCCUACGGGAGGCAGCAGUGGGGAAUAUUGGACAAUGGGCGAAAGCCUGAUCCAGCCAUGCCGCGUGUGUGAAGAAGGUCUUCGGAUUGUAAAGCACUUUAAGUUGGGAGGAAGGGCAGUAAGCGAAUACCUUGCUGUUUUGACGUUACCGACAGAAUAAGCACCGGCUAACUCUGUGCCAGCAGCCGCGGUAAUACAGAGGGUGCAAGCGUUAAUCGGAAUUACUGGGCGUAAAGCGCGCGUAGGUGGUUUGUUAAGUUGGAUGUGAAAGCCCCGGGCUCAACCUGGGAACUGCAUCCCAAACUGGCAAGCUAGAGUACAGUAGAGGGUGGUGGAAUUUCCUGUGUAGCGGUG